rnacentral:rRNA from 1 species
CGCUUGUUUAACAAAAACAUGUCUUUAUUGAAAAUAAUUUAAAGUCUGACCUGCCCAUUGAUUUAAUAAUUUAAAGGCCGCGGUAUUUUGACCGUGCAAAGGUAGCAUAAUCAUUAGUUUUUUAAUUGUGAACUGGUAUGAAUGGUUGGACAAGAUAUUAGCUGUCUCAUAAUGAUAUUUUGAAUUUUACUUUUUAGUGAAAAGGCUUAAAUUUUUUUGUAGGACGAGAAGACCCUAUAGAUUUUUAUAUUUAAUUUUUAUUAUAAAUUUUGGUUAAUAUUAUUUAUAUUUUGAAUUAUUAUUUGAUUGGGGUGAUUAGAAGAUUUAAUUAACUCUUCAUAUUUAUAUACAAUAAUUAUUGAAUUAUUGAUCCAUUUUUAAUGAUUAUAAGAACAAAUUACCUUAGGGAUAACAGCGUUAUCUUUUUUGAGAGUUGAUAUCUACAAAAAGGAUUGCGACCUCGAUGUUGGAUUAAA